rnacentral:rRNA from 1 species
ACUCCUACGGGAGGCAGCAGUGGGGAAUAUUGGACAAUGGGCGGAAGCCUGAUCCAGCAACGCCGCGUGAGGGAUGACGGCCUUCGGGUUGUAAACUCCUUUUCUAGGGGACGAGAACGGACGGUACCCCAGGAAGAAGCCUCGGCUAACUACGUGCCAGCAGCCGCGGUAAU